rnacentral:rRNA from 1 species
GACGUAGGGCGCGAGCGUUGUCCGGAUUUAUUGGGCGUAAAGAGCUCGUAGGCGGCUUGUUGCGUCGACUGUGAAAACCUGCGGCUCAACCGUGUGGUCUGCAGUCGAUACGGGCAGGCUGGAGUUCGGUAGGGGAGACUGGAAUUCCUGGUGUAGCGGUGAAAUGCGCAGAUAUCAGGAGGAACACCGAUUGCGAAGGCAGCUCGCUGGAACGUUACUGACGCUGGAGAACGCGAAAGCGUGGGGAGCAAACAGG